rnacentral:rRNA from 1 species
AACGAACGCUGGCGGCAGGCCUAACACAUGCAAGUCGAACGCCGUAGCAAUACGGAGUGGCAGACGGGUGAGUAACGCGUGGGAAUAUACCCUUCGGUUCGGAAUAACUCAGGGAAACUUGAGCUAAUACCGGAUACGUCCGAGGUUUUAAUCGACCUUGGAGAAAGAUUUAUCGCCGGAGGAUUGGCCCGCGUCUGAUUAGCUUGUUGGUGAGGUAAUGGCUCACCAAGGCGACGANCAGUAGCUGGUCUGAGAGGAUGAUCAGCCACAUUGGGACUGAGACACGGCCCAAACUCCUACGGGAGGCAGCAGUGGGGAAUAUUGGACAAUGGGCGAAAGCCUGAUCCAGCCAUGCCGCGUGAGUGAUGAAGGCCUUAGGGUUGUAAAGCUCUUUUCCAGGGGAAGAAUAAUGACUGUACCUUGGGAAUAAGCCCCGGCUAACUACGUGCCAGCAGCAGCCG